rnacentral:rRNA from 1 species
GGGGAAUAUUGGACAAUGGGGGCAACCCUGAUCCAGCGACGCCGCGUGGGUGAAGAAGGCCUGCGGGUUGUAAAGCCCUUUCGGUUGGGAAGAAAAGCUGCGCCCUAACACGUUGCGGCCUUGACGUAACCAACUAAAGAAGCACCGGCUAACUCUGUGCCAGCAGCCGCGGGAAUACCGAGGGCGCGAGCGUUGUCCGGAAUCACUGGGCGUAAAGGGCGCGUAGGUGGCGGCAUAAGGCCGCGGUGAAAGUUCGGGGCUCAACCCUGAAUCGGCCGCGGCGACUGUGUCGCUUGGGCACUGUAGAGGCAGAUGGAAUUCCGGGUGUAGCGGUGGAAUGCGUAGAGAUCCGGAAGAACACCGGUGGCGAAGGCGGUCUGCUGGGCAGUGGAGUCGCAAGACUCUUUUAGCCGACACUGAGGCGCGACAGCGUGGGGAGCAAA